GCACACCUCCGUAUCUUUUUUUUAAAUCCUUUUGUCUUUGGUCUGAAUAACCAAAACUAGGAUAUUUGUUGAAUGAUUUGAAACUUAUCAUUUAUUCAACAGUAGCUCGUUAACAUUAUAUUCGGGCGUGUAGGGCAUGAGUACUGUACCAUUGCAAUAGUGUGAUAUAAUAUUGUGCUAAAUGAGUUUACCAAGAAAGGAGUGCUCAUUUACUUAAUCUAUUGUACUUCUGCAAACAUGAAAUUUUCCUGAAACAAACGAGACAAGAACACGUGUACAAAAUAAUGUUUGUAUUUGAUGAUUUAGGGGUUACAAUCUCUCUCAAAUUUGAUCAUCUGAUUCAAUCUCCGUAAGGUGUGUAUUUGUGGAUGUGCGAUUGAUCCAAGGGCCGUCGAGGCUUGAUAUUGGAUGAACGGUUGAAAGUUUCUUCAAGGGCCGUUGAGGCUUGAUC
rnacentral:lncRNA from 1 species